AACCCUUUUGGUGGUCUUCUAAUUAUCCUUUUUUUUCCAAAAGAGAAGGUGAUUCUCUUUAUCUUUCAUUCCUUCGAGGAAGAAUCAUAUAAAUGAUGCAUAUAUCAUUAUAGUUCUAAAAAUCAUGAACAUCUCCGAAAAUACAGCCUUCAAACUAUGUAAAUAUAUUAAAAGAAAAAAGAGGAUAAUUAGAAGACCACCAAAAGGGUUUAUCAAAAUUAUAACAUUAAGUAUAGCGGUCACACUCUGCCACUAGUAUUUCAUCCAGUGAAGCACAAUAUCCAGAAGAUCAGACCAAUAUGCCAAAUCAUAAUGUUACGUCUUUAAGGGAGCUUUCUUCUCUCUGUCAGAUAUUCGAGCAGGAGCAGUUGAAUGUGAUUUGAACCGACCUCUACCUCCAUCUUCCUUUUCCUUUUUCUUAACAAUUUGAACCACAUCCUCAUCUUGGAGAACAUGACUAAGGCCACAGUGUUGAGGGUAGUGUCGUGCACUCAAGCCCCACACAAGAACAUACUUCACAUCCUUCACUAAACUCCUGUGUAUGUGAUUACAGAAGUCUUCAACUGUGCAGCCACCUCUAUCAACUGAAAGUACUACAGGAUCAGUGAAAUCAGGUUGCUGGCCUUGCGGUUUUGUAUAGACUCUCACUAGGCCCAUUUCUUCCCACAUCUUUGCAAGUAGUCUGUCUAAGUUGAGCU
rnacentral:misc_RNA from 1 species